rnacentral:rRNA from 1 species
UACGUAGGGUGCAAGCGUUGUCCGGAAUUAUUGGGCGUAAAGAGCUCGUAGGCGGUCUGUCACGUCGGCUGUGAAAACUCGGGGCUCAACCCCGAGCCUGCAUACGAUACGGGCAGACUUGAGUUCGGCAGGGGAGACUGGAAUUCCUGGUGUAGCGGUGAAAUGCGCAGAUAUCGGGAGGAACACCAAUGGCGAAGGCAGCUCGCUGGGACGGUACUGACGCUGAGACGCGAAAGCGUGGGGAGCAAACAGG